GCAGUUUAAAGUAGUUCUCAGAGAUAGGGCCUGUUGCUUUGUUGUCACAAUACUGAAAGAAGAGGCAAAAAAAAAAAAAAAAAAAAAAAAAAAAAAAGCUGAGGAGAAAGAAAAAACAACAAAUCAGAAAAACAUGGGAGUGACUUAAAGACGUCAAAUCAAACUAUCCGAUGGGACAAAAGGAACUCAUUGCAUGGGCUGAGAAGAGCCGCAAGUCCAAUCACAUCUCUCUCAAAACCCGAAGAAGGCAACAGAGCUUGCUGGGCAAACUGAACCAAAGCAUUGAUUUGUGGUGCACUGAUCUACAGAAGGCAGCUGCAAAUGAGGCUCAUGCUACAUUGAAAGCCUACAGAAUAUAGCCAUGUGUUGAUGGUUUUGACGUGUUUUGGCUCCAAGAGUACCUCAGUGG
rnacentral:lncRNA from 1 species